AGCCAGACUCCUACGGGAGGCAGCAGUGAGGAAUAUUGGUCAAUGGGCUUACGCCUGAACCAGCCAAGUCGCGUGAGGGAAGACUGCCCUAUGGGUUGUAAACCUCUUUUGUCAGGGAGCAACGCCGGCUACGUGUAGCCGGACUGAGAGUACCUGAAGAAAAAGCAUCGGCUAACUCCGUGCCAGCAGCCGCGGUAAUACGGAGGAUGCGAGCGUUAUCCGGAUUUAUUGGGUUUAAAGGGUGCGUAGGCGGAAUGCCAAGUCAGCGGUAAAAUCGUGGGGCUCAACCCCAUCCAGCCGUUGAAACUGGGGAUCUAGAGUGUGCGAGAGGUAUGCGGAAUGCGUGGUGUAGCGGUGAAAUGCAUAGAUAUCAUACAGAACACCGAUUGCGAAGGCAGCUUACCAAACUACGACUGACGUUGAGGCACGAAAGCGUGGGGAGCAAACAGGAUUAGAUACCCCGGUA
rnacentral:rRNA from 1 species